GGCGGGGUUAAACAGUAAGCGGGGUCCCAAUCCUCCACCUAACCUGGGACAGUGGUAUAACAGUACAACAUAAGAACGAACUAUAAAAAUCAGUCAAAAAAGGCAUCAGAUGGACAAAAAUUCAAGUAGACGUGGCCGGGUACUUGUACAUCCCGAAAACAAAAAGACACUAGGAACAGAUCUGAGAGUACUCGCAGUUAUCUGACAGUUCAAAGCCACUAACAACUAAUAAAAAAAAUCAUGCAUCUAAGACUUAACUAUCAAUCCGUACACAUCAACCA
rnacentral:lncRNA from 1 species